rnacentral:hammerhead_ribozyme from 1 species
GCACUGCCGAGGAGUCCAUUACUUGGACGAAACGGCCGUCCAGUGC